UGGCAACCACCAACUGACAAGAGUAACAUAAAAAAAAAACUUAUAUAGCAGUAAAAGUCAGGGAAAAAAAAGAUGGCAAUGGCAGUCAUGGAGUAAUUUCCAGACAAACCAAAAAUGAUGUUUUCAACCGCCAAACCAAACAUUGUGAAGGACCAUGUUUCAUUUGCUUUGCAAAUCCUUGAAUUAUCAGCUUUUGACAUGGACCACAACUGUGCAAUGUGCUCAGUAUCCAAACCACCAAUGCCGGGGACGGCUGUCACUGACUGGAUUCAGUGUGACUCAUGCAUUCGGUGGUACAAUUUACAAUGCAUGAACAUGGAUCCUGCAGAGGUGCCAGAAAGGGCAAAAACAGCGAGGGACUGCCCGUUGUGUCACUAACAAAAUUGUUCAUUGUUUUCAGGUUUUGAAGUUGUUGGUUAGUUAGAUUUAGAUAAUUUUUGGUUUUGAUAACUGUUCUGUUUUUAUUAAUAAAUUUCCGUUU